AGGACGAACGCUGGCGGCGUGCCUAACACAUGCAAGUCGAACGGAACCAGGGGCAACUCUGGUUCAGUGGCGGACGGGUGCGUAACACGUGAGGAACAUGACUUUCGGUGGGGGAUAGCCGGCCCAACGGCCGGGUAAUACCGCGUACGACCUUUGGGGACAUCCCUGAUUGGUGAAAGCAGCAGUGCGCCGAAAGAGUGCCUCGCGGCCUAUCAGCUAGUUGGUGGGGUAAUGGCUCACCAAGGCGACGACGGGUAGC
rnacentral:rRNA from 1 species